rnacentral:rRNA from 1 species
CCUACGUGAGGCAGCAGUGAGGAAUAUUGGUCAAUGGGCGUAAGCCUGAACCAGCCAAGUCGCGUGAGGGAUGAAGGUUCUAUGGAUCGUAAACCUCUUUUAUAAGGGAAUAAAGUGCGGGACGUGUCCCGUUUUGUAUGUACCUUAUGAAUAAGGAUCGGCUAACUCCGUGCCAGCAGCCGCGGUAAUACGGAGGAUCCGAGCGUUAUCCGGAUUUAUUGGGUUUAAAGGGUGCGUAGGCGGCCUUUUAAGUCAGCGGUGAAGUCUGUGGAUCAACCAUAGAAUUGCCGUUGAAACUGGGAGGCUUGAGUAUGUUUGAGGCAGGCGGAAUGCGUGGGGAAGCGGGGAAAUGCUUAGAUAUCACGCAGAACCCCGAUUGCGAAGGCAGCCUGCCAAGCCAUGACUGACGCUGAUGCACGAAAGCGUGGGGAUCAAACAGGAUUAGAUACCCGGGUAGUC